rnacentral:rRNA from 1 species
AUUGAACGCUGGCGGCAGGCCUAACACAUGCAAGUCGAGCGGAUGAAGGGAGCUUGCUCCUGGAUUCAGCGGCGGACGGGUGAGUAAUGCCUAGGAAUCUGCCUGGUAGUGGGGGAUAACGUCCGGAAACGGGCGCUAAUACCGCAUACGUCCUGAGGGAGAAAGUGGGGGAUCUUCGGACCUCACGCUAUCAGAUGAGCCUAGGUCGGAUUAGCUAGUUGGUGGGGUAAAGGCCUACCAAGGCGACGAUCCGUAACUGGUCUGAGAGGAUGAUCAGUCACACUGGAACUGAGACACGGUCCAGACUCCUACGGGAGGCAGCAGUGGGGAAUAUUGGACAACGGGCGAAAGCCUGAUCCAGCCAUGCCGCGUGUGUGAAGAAGGUCUUCGGAUUGUAAAGCACUUUAAGUUGGGAGGAAGAGCAGUAAGUUAAUACCUUGCUGUUUUGACGUUACCAACAGAAUAAGCCCCGGCUAACUUCGUG